UGGGGAAUAUUGCACAAUGGGCGAAAGCCUGAUGGAGCGACGCCGCGUGGGGGAUGAAGGGCUUCGGUCCGUAAACCCCUGUCAUUUGCGAACAAUGCUCAUGACCUAACACGUCAUGAGUUGAUAGUAGCAAAAGAGGAAGGGACGGCUAACUCUGUG
rnacentral:rRNA from 1 species